rfam:Otolemur garnettii contig056887, whole genome shotgun sequence.
UCACAGGCCCCUCUCGGGGCCAUUGAAGACACCUAUCAUCAUUGUU